rnacentral:rRNA from 1 species
ACGCGAAGAACCUUACCUAGCCUUGACAUAUUUAAGAACACUUUAGAGAUAGAGUGGUGCCUUCGGGAGCUUUUAUACAGGUGCUGCACGGCUGUCGUCAGCUCGUGUCGUGAGAUGUUGGGUUAAGUCCCGCAACGAGCGCAACCCUCGUCACUAGUUACUAACGGUUCGGCCGAGGACUCUAGUGAGACUGCCUUCGCAAGGAGGAGGAAGGUGAGGACGACGUCAAGUCAUCAUGGCCCUUACGGCUAGGGCAACACACGUGCUACAAUGGCCAGGACAAUGAGAAGCGAUACCGCGAGGUGGAGCAAAUCUAUAAACCUGGUCUCAGUUCGGAUUGUAGUCUGCAACUUGACUACAUGAAGCUGGAAUCACUAGUAAUCGUAGAUCAGCUAUGCUACGGUGAAUACGUUCCCGGGUCUUGUACUCACCGCCCGUCACACCAUGGGAGUUGAUUUCACCCGAAGCGGGGAAGCUAAACUGGCUACCCUCCACGGUGGAAUCAGCGACUGGGGUGAAGUCGUAACAAGGUAACCUUAAUUAAAA